GACGGUCGCUCCGCCACUGCGUGACCGUCUCCACUUUUGACCGAUCGCAUGGGGCUGAGACCCAGUAAUGCGGUCAGCUACCACGGUCGUCUCAUGGAUGUGCUGUCGCAUAAGAGGAGGUGUUACAAGGAAUCCCAUCGAAAGCCGGUGGUAUGUCAGUAUCUAUAUCAUCAACAUGCCAAUGAAAUAUUAAUAACGUUUCGUCAUGAGUAACGAGUCAAAAUCUGUCGAAGCAGUACCAGCUGACGAGCGGCGCAAGUUGGCGUGUGGAGAUGCUGUUCCAAGUUUCAGUUGUCUGCGGUUAGAGAACAGAAAAAAGAUAAUUGCAGAGAAUACGAGCAGUGAGAAAAGCCUGCAAGCCAUUUCGCUAUCGACCACGCGGGAACGUCUGUCGAAGCUUCUCCAGCACUCGACCCCCCGGGCGACCGCUUCGUGGCUUCCGUUAUCAAACGGAUUGUUUCGCCGGGGGCAAACGGAGACGUUGGUUGCCAGUUAAUCGAAAAGCGAGAGCGGUGCACGUAACAAGUUGGCCUGUAGUCCACACAUGCCGCGUUCCACGGGUCCCUCCGCGAGCAGCACUCUACUUUUCCGUAAGAGCAACAAGAACAACACGCAUUGUUUGCAGGCAGUGGGGCUCGUGGCCGCAGGGGGCUGGUGCAGGUGAGAUACACCUGGUUUCUUCUACAGUGGCGUCAGGUAGUUGGUAUGUGGCGCAGGAAUAACCAAGGAAGAACUGUCUUUCAGAGUCGAUCUCCCUCGGGCGGUUGUUACCAAACAAGGACAAAGGAAUGGACUCCAUCGCUCACCUCUGCUACCAAGGUGAAUGACAGGCAAUUUUGACAGGACAGAUUUGCGGCAUUAAGAUGGCUGAUCACGCGAUGCUGCCGAGCCCGUAGUGGCAUUGGCCGUGAUGCGUCAAUGCGCACCCUCGUGAGUCUCUUGGGAUGCUCGGAGCCUAAGUUCUGUAAAUUGAUGAGCUUUUGCUUGACUAGGUGUGCCCAGUCAACUUCUGUCAUUCAUUGUAAACGUUCAAGUGAAAUGAAAGUCGAUCUCCCACGGCGAACUCCUCUGGAUGGAGGGUACCUUGUGUGGCUGUCACGGGUAGGCAUCGGCACCCACACAGACUGCACUAGAGCAUUUAUCGUCCCAAGAACGAAGCGAAGAAAGAAAGAGGGCGUGCGACUCAGAGGAGUCACCACCUGCGAGAGAUGGCUCUGAAAACACGUUGUUACUAACAUCGAGCGCAUGCGGCACUAGCUACUCCGCAGAUCAACAAAAAAGGGUGUUUGCGUUACAUUUAAUGGAUACCCUUGGAAAACGUGGAUGGUGUUUGACUGGCAUUGCGUUCGCACAUUAAAGAGGCCGAGCUGAUCCUGAUUCUGUAUUGUUUGCUUGCCCCAGCCGGGGUCAACCAACGUUGUCUGAAGCUACGAACCCUACCCUUUUUAAGCAUGCUU
rnacentral:lncRNA from 1 species